rnacentral:rRNA from 1 species
UACAGGGGGUGCAAACGUUGCUCGGAAUUAUUGGGCGUAAAGCGCACGUAGGCGGUCUGUUAUGUCGGAUGUGAAAGCCCUUGGCUUAACUGAGGAAGUGCAUCCGAAACUGGCAGGCUAGAGUACUAAAGAGGGUCGCGGAAUUCCCGGUGUAGAGGUGAAAUGUGACAUAUGGAGAAGACGGAGCCGGAGGCGGAAGCCUGGGGUCAGACUAGGCGAAUGC